GUACUCAGCCAAUGAGGAGCUAGAGGAGGGACUCGCGGGCUAAGGAAUAAAUUGCCUGUUGUAACCGCCCGGAGUGAGCCUGCUCACCAGGCACCUGAUCUUGCAGGACCGUCAUAAAGCCUCGCUCUGCUGUUCUCUUGGACUAAGUUUGGACCAUGUUUUUCCUGAAGUGCCUAGAGAUUCUUCAUUGCCCAUUCUUAAUUAAAAGCAAAGUCACAAAAUAGCGGAUUAGGACUUCUGUGUGCCUGGGCUGGUUGACUGGACAGCUCCAAGUGACUGGGAGUCCCGAAUACUGGAGUGACCCCCACCCCCACCCCCCUAGGGAUAUUCAGUCCUUUUUUUAGAGUGAAAUCUGUCAGUACCUUUCCUGGGUGAUGAAGCCCCUGCUUCACGGAUAAGGGUAAGAUGGGAAGGUCCAAUUGUUCUAUGUGUAGGCUUUCAGUUAAAAUUGUUAUUUUAAACAAAUUGUUAUUUGUUAUAUUAAAUAACAAAUUUAAUAACAAU